rnacentral:rRNA from 1 species
GAGUUUGAUCGUGGCUCAGGAUAAACGCUGGCGGCGCACAUAAGACAUGCAAGUCGAACGGACUUAACCAGUUAGUUUACUAUUGGAGCGGUUAGUGGCGGACUGGUGAGUAACACGUAAGCAACCUGCCUAUCAGGAGGGGAACAACAGUUAGAAAUGACUGCUAAUACCGCAUAUGCCUAAGUAUCGCAUGAUACAAUAGGGAAAGGAGAAAUCCGCUGAUAGAUGGGCUUGCGUCUGAUUAGAUAGUUGGUGUGGUAACGGCAUACCAAGUCGACGAUCAGUACGCCGGACUGGAGAGGUUGAACGGCCACAUUGGGACUGGAGA